rnacentral:rRNA from 1 species
CCUACGGGAGGCUGCAGUCGAGAAUCAUUCACAAUGGGGGAAACCCUGAUGGUGCGACGCCGCGUGGGGGAAUGAAGGUCUUCGGAUUGUAAACCCCUGUCAUGUGGGAGCAAAUUAAAAAGAUAGUACCACAAGAGGACGAGACGGCUAACUCUGUGCCAGCAGCCGCGGUAAUACAGAGGUCUCAAGCGUUGUUCGGAAUCACUGGGCGAAAAGCGGGCGUAGGCGGUUUCGUAAGUCGUGUGUGAAAGGCGCGGGCUCAACCCGCGGACGGCACAUGAUACUGCGAGACUUGAGAAAGGGGGGGGGAACCGGAAUUCUCGGUGUAGCAGUGAAAGGCGUAGAUAUCGAGGGGAACACUCGUGGCGAAGGCGGGUGCCUGGACAUUAACUGACGCUGAGGCACGAAGGCCAGGGGAGCGAAAGGGAUUAGAUACCCUAGUAGU